rnacentral:rRNA from 1 species
GUAGGUGGCAAGCGUUGUCCGGAAUUAUUGGGCGUAAAGCGCGCGCAGGCGGUUCUUUAAGUCUGAUGUGAAAGCCCACGGCUCAACCGUGGAGGGUCAUUGGAAACUGGAGAACUUGAGUACAGAAGAGGAAAGCGGAAUUCCACGUGUAGCGGUGAAAUGCGUAGAGAUGUGGAGGAACACCAGUGGCGAAGGCGGCUUUUCUGGUCUGUAACUGACGCUGAGGCGCGAAAGCGUGGGGAGCAAACAGGGAUUAGAUACCCUGGUAUUCCACGCCGUAAACGAUGAGUGCUAAGUGUUAGGGGGGUUUCCGCCCCCUUAGUGCUGCAGCUAACGCAUUAAGCACUCCGCCUGGGGAGUACGGCCGCAAGGCUG